rnacentral:rRNA from 1 species
AUGAACGCUAGCGGGAGGCCUAACACAUGCAAGCCGAGCGGUAGAGAUCUUUCGGGAUCUUGAGAGCGGCGUACGGUGCGGAACACGUGUGCAACCUGCCUUUAUCUGGGAGAUAGCCUUUCGAAAGGAAGAUUAAUACCCCAUAAUAUAUGAUUCGGCAUCGGAUUCUAUUGAAAGCUCCGGCGGAUAGAGAUGGGCACGCGCAAGAUUAGAUAGUUGGUGAGGUAACGGCUCUCCAAGUCAGUGAUCUUUAGGGGGCCUGAGAGGGUGAUCCCCCACACUGGUACUGAGACACGGACCAGACUCCUACGGGAGGCAGCAGUGAGGAAUAUUGGACAAUGGGUGAAAGCCUGAUCCAGCCAUCCCGCGUGAAGGACGACGGCCCUAUGGGUUGUAAACUUCUUUUGUAUAGGGAUAAACCUACCCUCGUGAGGGUAGCUGAAGGUACUAUACGAAUAAGCACCGGCUAACUCCGUGCCAGCAGCCGCAGUAA